UACGUAGGUGGCGAGCGUUGUCCGGAAUUACUGGGUGUAAAGGGCGUGUAGGCGGGAUUGCAAGUCAGAUGUGAAAUUCCAAGGCUCAACUUUGGAGCUGCAUCUGAAACUGUAAUUCUUGAGUGCUGGAGAGGAUAGUGGAAUUCCUAGUGUAGCGGUGAAAUGCGUAGAGAUUAGGUGGAACACCAGUGGCGAAGGCGGCUAUCUGGACAGUAACUGACGAUGAGGCGCGAAAGGGUGGGGAGCAAACAGG
rnacentral:rRNA from 1 species